AAUAAAUAAAGAUUAGAUUAAUCAAAUAGAGUACAACAGUGCCACAAGAAUGUGCGCCUGUGACAAAGAAGUUUGCUUACAAAUGCUGCAGGUUACAUGUGAUGCAAGACAACUGUACUAGAAGCACAUAGGGAAAAGGUCUAAUUUAACUUCUGUUGCAGAACAGUUUCCAUCUAAAGUAAGGGACAUUAAUAACUGGGAAUGGAAAAAGAAGAAGAAAAAGGAUGAAAGAAUAGGAGGCUCAUCAUUUACUUUGGCAGGAGUGGACAGAAGGGCAAAGAAGAAUGAACAAAAAUGGGGCAGCCAUUGAUAGGUGUACAGGGAAGAAGACAUUGCUGCACAAAAGAUGAACAAAGGAUCAGGAGACAAUUAAAGUACAGCAAAACUCUACAGAAAACAGGAAGAAAAACAAACAGACACGAUAUCUAAAAGCAAUGGGAACAAGAACUCCACAUUAAGGUAAGAAACUGAACUAACAUAAUGUUAUGAUGUCUUGUCUCUACACAGAAGAAGCAGAAGAGGUAAUCAUAUGAUUCCCCCAAAGCAAAACAG
rnacentral:lncRNA from 1 species